GAUGAACGCUAGCGGCAGGCCUAAUACAUGCAAGCUGAACGGCAACUUUUGUAGCAAUACGGGAGCUAGAGUAGCGUAAGGGUGCGUAACACGUAUGCAAUCUGCCCGCAACAGGAGUAUAGCUCUUCGAAAGGGGAAUUAAUGCUCCAUAGGAAUAUUGGGGGGCAUCCUUUGAUAUUUAAACCUGAGGGGGUUGCGGAUGAGCAUGCGCAUGAUUAGUUAGUUGGUAGGGUAACGGCCUACCAAGACG
rnacentral:rRNA from 1 species